UGUCUCAGUUCGGAUUGGAGUCUGNAACCCGACUCCAUGAAGCUGGAUUCGCUAGUAAUCGCGCAUCAGCCACGGCGCGGUGAAUACGUUCCCGGGCCUUGUACACACCGCCCGUCAAGCCAUGGAAGCCGGGGGUGCCUGAAGUGCGCUGCCGCAAGGAGCGUCCUAGGGUAAAACCGGUGACUGGGGCUAAGUCGUAACAAGGUACC
rnacentral:rRNA from 1 species